rnacentral:rRNA from 1 species
UGGGGAAUAUUGGGCAAUGGGCGCAAGCCUGACCCAGCAACGCCGCGUCAGGGAAGAAUAAGGAUGACGAGUCAUUCGAUGCCAGUACUUGACGAAUAAGCAUCGGCUAACUCCGUGCCAGCAGCCGCGGUAAUACGGGGGAUGCGAGCGUUAUCCGGAUUUAUUGGGUUUAAAGGGCGCGUAGGCGGGACGUCAAGUCAGCGGUAAAAGACUGCAGCUAAACUGUAGCACGCCGUUGAAACUGGCGCCCUGGAGACGAGACGAGGGAGGCGGAACAAGUGAAGUAGCGGUGAAAUGCAUAGAUAUCACUUGGAACCCCGAUAGCGAAGGCAGCUUCCCAGGCUCGUUCUGACGCUGAUGCGCGAGAGCGUGGGUAGCGAACAGGAUUAGAUACCCUGGUAGU